GACGAACGCUGGCGGCGUGCUUAACACAUGCAAGUCGAACGAAGUGGCGAACGGGUGAGUAACGCUUAAUCAACCUGCCCUUCAGCGGGGGACAACAGUUGGAAACGACUGCUAAUACCGCAUACUGAAGGAGGGGAUUGCGUCUGAUUAGCUAGUUGGAGGGGUAACGGCCCACCAAGGCGAUGAUCAGUAGCCCGUUUGAGAGGAUGAACGGCCAAAUUGGGACUGGGACACGGCCAAGACUCCUACGGGAGGCAGCAGUGGGGAAUCUUCCGAAAUGGACGAAAGUCUGACGGAGCAACGCCGCGUGAGUGAUGACGGCCGUCGGGUUGUAAAGCUCUGUUAAUCGGGACGCGGUACCGGAAUAGAAAGCCACGGCUAACUACGUGCCAGCAGCCGCGGUAAUUC
rnacentral:rRNA from 1 species